GGAGAGGUGUCAGAGCGGCUUAAUGAGCACGCUUGGAAAGCGUGUGUGUGUUAAUAGCGCACCGCGGGUUCAAAUCCCGCCCUCUCCG
rnacentral:tRNA from 1 species